rnacentral:lncRNA from 1 species
AUGAAAAGAUGCAAAGUAGGGAGGCCGGCGGGAAGGAUUCAGGGGUGGAAUUGCUGGAGUCACAGAUGGAGAGCAGGAGCCUUGCUGGAAGGCUCACGCGGAGGUGGAGCUGUGGGGAGGGGCUUGGACCAUUUCCUUGCAGGGCAAGUGAACAGAGGCAUAGGACACACGGGAGCUAAAGUCAAAUUAAAAAGACCAGAAGUGGGGACACAGAGUGAAACUCGGCUCGCCGUCCCUAAGCCCCAGAGUGGUGUUCUUGAAGCACCCAGGGCUCGAUCUAAAAAUCAGACCGUGAACUCAGACUCCAGCAUUGCGAUGUGGGCUUCCCACUCGCACAGCACAUGGUCACUGAAACCAUCCCAAGGGAAUUUAAAGCAGCAGGACCCCGGCGUUACUGUUUGGUUGUUGCCUGGAGCCAGUGGAACAUCCGACCCACGCAUGGAGGCUGCUCAGCGCUUCUGCAUGAAUUAAAUGAGGUAGUUCAAUGGGGCAUGUGGACUAGGAAGCCGUCACUGCGUUGGACGUUGGCCUUGCAAUGCAAACACCACCCCAUCCCACUCAGGACACGCCUGGGAAGGCACUCAGCUCAUUGAAAGAGCCCAUCAGUUUUGCUUCUUCUCUGUGACCCAUUCUGGGGAGCUGUGACCAACAGCAUAGCGGUAACUUCAGGCCUGCAAGAAGAGGGUGAAAAGUAGAUACAGUUAGCUCAUCAACUUGGAAAUGCCUUCAACAUGAAACGAAGAGUCAUCCUCAAAUUUUGCAGGAAAGAAGAGCCCCCUUUUGUUUGGACCUCCGAGACGUCUCACUUUCACCAUUCAUUCGGGGCGCUGGGAGGCGGAGGCCUCAGCAUUUCCUAACUUAUUUUUUUAUGAAGCACUCGCCUCACCCAGUAGACUGAGAGUGUGCUCCCCGUUGACCUCGGCUCAGAAAGAAGGGAAGUCUGAUGCUAAGCUCCUCUUCCUCUACCACGGGCUCCACGCACCCCAAGACCCCCCGGGAGGUCCCGAUCCUCCUUCAGAACCAGAGCACAAGGACCGUCUUUCAUGCUCUUUUCUUGGUAGAACCUGACCUGUUGCAGAGCCGAGCGCCCCGCCUCUGUCUUGGGCACGUGACAGUCAGCCCUCAGGAACUUAGGUCCAGACCAAUAACGGACUUGUUGGCAUCCCCUCAUCUCCCAGUUAUGAAUUCCUUGGGUUCCGUGUGUCUCUACGUUCCAGUUGGUAGCACCUAACGAGUCUGCUGAAUGGAUUUUCCCUUAGUUUGAAUCCCUGCCUGGUUUGGCCAUAAGAAAACAAAUACCAUUCAUGGGGUGUGUGACAUAGACGCUGGUGCUCCCCAAUUAUUCCAUGAGAUCCUGCAUAUUUUCCAGCCUUCCUGGCACUUAGCAUGGGGCCAGGUGACGAAUUCAAGUUCACGGGCACAAGGGGGAGUGAAGCAAUGCACAGCAUUUGCCACCCGAGGACACCGAGGAGGUUGAAAGCUGCACGCAUCUGCCGCGGUGGCUGGAAGCGAAGAACACUGAGACGGCAAAGGGGCCACAGAGAGCAUCUCUAAUGCGCACCACUGCUGAAAGGCGGCCACCAGGGAGGACGGGCUGAGCUGUAUUGGACUGCUCCGAAAGUGACAAAUAAGCCUCUGGCUUUGGAGGUUUGCUGCCACAGCAAAACUUAGCUUUACCCUGACCAACCGCGGGUGAGUUUCACAAGCUGAAAGUGUAAGGAGGAGACAAGCCCGUGGAAUAUGACAGCAUCACCGCGGGUGAGUUUCACAAGCUGAAAGUGUAAGGAGGAGACAAGCCCGUGGAAUAUGACAGCAUCACUGGCUAGCAACAUCUUCUGAUAUCCUGGAAUUAGUCGGGAUGGGCCAUGGAUCUGGAUCUGAAACUUUUAAAUCGAAAUGGGGACAAGAGCAUCCCUAUGACGUCAUUGGAGAAUCUGAGGCAUAGAGAAGCGAAGGGAUGGGCUUCUCGGAUUAGGAGUGAGCGAAGCAUGAGAAGAGAGACCUCAAUUUCCCCUGGGCUGUUUCCCACCCUUCCUAGUUGGGAUUUCUCCUCCCCCAGCAUUUGUGCCCUUUGAGUUAGUAUUCUAGGCAUGAGACUGACCUAUUUCGAAGUGGGACAGGUUGGCGUCUCUAAAGCGGGUUCCACAGAAGACUCUGUUUUGAAGCAACAUGGUGGUAAAGAGGUUAACACUGAAUGGGAGUUUUACUUCCAGGCAGGGAUCUCGAGCCCUGGUGGAAAGACUGCAGCUGCCCUGUGGCCCAGAUAAUGCAACAUCGGGCUGAGCAAGGACAUCUGAGAACAUUCUGUUCUCCUCCCCCGAGACCAAUUAAAAUCUGGAGGCAUCUUUCUUGUUGAUCGAGCUGACUAACUAAUUGAAACGGAAUUGUGAUAUUUUCAUCAGCUUUCUCUUAUCCCUCUUGGCCUUGCCAGCAGAGAGCAAGCUGAAUGAUCAGAGAGUUUCAAGCAUGUGAGGCCCAGGGAACGGAACCCCUCUCACCGUAAACCACUACAUUUCCACGGAACAAGGUUCGAAAAAGGAUGAUGCGGGGUCGAGAGUAGGGCGAUACGCUCAAAUCUCAGUCUCAGUUCAUCCAGAUACCAAAGAUACCAUCUUCGGGAUUCCUGAUGAACCAUAACGCUGUCCUUCAGCAGUUGCUGCUCCAAUAAACCAGCUUCUGACCUCUGCCUUCCUAACGAACAUCCCUCUGCCUGACUGGGGAAGCUCCUAGAAACAAAGAACCAAACGCCUCUGAGGCCCAACAAGAUCCCUUUCCUUCCAUUGAGCUAGAAUGUAUUUCCUCGGCACGUGCAAAUGGCCUAGUGGUUAAUCUUAGCAAUUGUCCCAAAGGACAUCCAAGCCUCUGAGAGUGGGUUACACGAUUGAGAUUGCAGGACCUUUUUCUGCUUCAGCAUGAAGACCUGCAUGUUAGCAUUUGUGAGGAGAGCUCAAGAUGGGGGGAAGUCCUCUUGGCUCCUGAUCUAAGGAAGAGCUGCGUCUUAAGCAUUGGUAGAAUUGCUCAUGUGUCCAGUGUGAGGUGGCCUUGGCUGACAAGCUAUCAAAAUAAAUAAAUAACAAGAAAAU